CUUUGUCCCUGAUCAUUUCCGGUUCUCAGACUAGCUUUGGGGGGUUGAGAGUUAGGACCCAGGCUUCCCUCCGUGCCUUUCCCAUCUUGGUCCAAGCAGAAGGCUGACCUCCCAAAAGGAGUAAGGAGAGGCUGCAUGGGAGGUGGGGGCCUGAGUGUCCCACGUGCUCUGUGGUCCCAAGGACGGGAGCUGGGUGACUCACCCUGCCCAGAACACAUCUCUGGAAAAGCUUUGAGAACGGGGGCCCCCCCGGGAGCUCUGGGGACUGGUCUUACUUGGCUUGGGGUCCUGAGUGAUCUGGGAAGAAGGUCCUGAUUUCUUAACUUGGAUUCCCACGUGGAGAAGAUUUCCAGGUUCUCCUUGGAGACUUUGGGUAGACAGGGCCGUCCACUCUGGGAAUUUAAACUACACAACCAUUAAAAUGAUAAUUAUAUUGACUAUGUAGCAACACGCAAAAACAUUCCUGUCUCACAGGAGAACAAAGAACGAAAUAAAAAACUGGGCUCUUGAAUAUCCUUCACCCAAGUCAGGGAUAAAAGAUAGAGCCCUGUGACGCAUCACGAGAGACCUCUCUCCAGGUUGACACAUCAAGGUCACUUGGCAUGUGGCUUUUCAAGAGGCACUUGUGUGCGUUGUUGUCCAAUCCACAUUCUCCAUCCUCCAGGAAGGUGUUGCGUGAGCACUUCCCCAACUGUGCCCUGUGGCAAGGGCUGUGGAACUCCAGAUUCCUCCAGGGACCCAGCAUCAGCUCAUCCUGGAAACCCCCAUCCCAAGUGGCAAGAUUUGCUGGACGCUUCUCACCCCGCCUCUCGGUCCUCCUUGAGCCGCCUCAGCACCAGCCAUCAGCAUGUUCCUUGAUUCUCAGCCUGGACCACCUGCUGACUCAGAAGCUUGGCAUCUCCAAGUGCGUGUUUUCCCACACGGCUGUGGCAUCUUCCUGGAACCCACUCCACGCAAAGAGCUCAGGCCUGAGGGUCGGACAGACCUGGAAUCACAUUCCUCCUCUUCCUUGUAUUUGGUGAAGUUAUGUAAGCUUUCUGCUCCUUGGUUUUCUUUGUCUAUACAAUAAACUUACCGAUGUCCACUGUC